rnacentral:tRNA from 1 species
GCCGCUAUAGCUCAGCUGGUAGAGCAACGCACUUGUAAUGCGUAGGUCCUCAGUUCGACUCCGAGUGGCGGCACCA